rnacentral:rRNA from 1 species
GUAGGGAAUAUUGGGCAAUGGAUGCAAGUCUGACCCAGCCAUCCCGCGUGCCGGAAGAAGGCCCUCAGGGUUGUAAACGGCUUUUGACGGUGAAGAAUCGACAGGAUGCGUCCUGUUUUGACGGUAGCCGUUGAAUAAGCACCGGCUAACUCCGUGCCAGCAGCCGCGGUAAUACGGAGGGUGCGAGCGUUGUCCGGAUUUAUUGGGUUUAAAGGGUGCGUAGGCUGGAAGGUCAGUCAGCGGUGAAAAGCUGUCGCUUAACGGUAGUCUUGCCGCAGAUACUUCCUUGCUUGGAUGAGGAGGAGGCCACUGGAACGGAUGGUGUAGCGGUGAAAUGCAUAGAUAUCAUCCAGAACACCGAUUGCGAAGGCAGGUGGCUGUACCUUAAUCGACGCUGAUGCACGAAAGCAUGGGGAGCAAACAGGAUUAGAAACCCUGGUAGUCC